rnacentral:pre_miRNA from 1 species
UCUUCAUUUUGCACACUCUCUCACCUGUCCGAGAAGCAAGAGAGUGUGUGAAGUGAAGAGA